CUUCCUACGGGGCGCAGCAGUCGGGAAUAUUGCACAAUGGAGGAAACUCUGAUGCAGUGACGCCGCGUGCAGGAAGAAGGUUUUAGGAUUGUAAACUGCUUUAGACAGGAAAGAAAAAAGACAGUACCUGUAGAAUAAGCUCCGGCUAACUACGUGCCAGCAGCCGCGGUAAUACGUAGGGAGCAAGCGUUAUCCGGAUUUAUUGGGUGUAAAGGGUGCGUAGACGGGAAUUUAAGUUAGUUGUGAAAUACCUCGGCUUAACUGAGGAACUGCAACUAAAACUGAAUUUCUUGAGUGCUGGAGAG
rnacentral:rRNA from 1 species